rnacentral:pre_miRNA from 1 species
GAAUUUACUGUGAUUCCCAUGAGUCAGUUAAAAAAUUUCACGGGUGUUAUUGUAGAUUCA